rnacentral:rRNA from 1 species
UACAGAGGAUGCAAGCGCUAUUCGGAUUUAUUGGGCGUAAAGAGCGAGUAGGUGGUUCGAUAGGUCUGGUGUGAAAGCCCUGGACUCAAUCCAGGAAGUGCAUUGGAUACUGUCGGUCUAGAGUAUGGGAGAGGAGAGCGGAAUUCCAGGUGUAGAGGUGAAAUUCGUAGAUAUCUGGAGGAACAACAGUAGCGAAGGCGGCUCUCUGGACCAUUACUGCCACUGAGGCGCGAAAGCGUGGGGAGCAAACAGG